UCUUUAUAUUUUAAAUUUUAUAAAUUAGAAUAUAAAAUAUUUAAUUGGGGUGAUUUAAAAAUUAAAAUAACUUUUUAUAUAUUUUAUCAAAAAUUUUUGAUUGAUUGAUCCUUUAUUAUAGAUUAAUAGAUUAAGU
rnacentral:rRNA from 1 species